rnacentral:rRNA from 1 species
UUAAGCGACUAAGCGUACACGGUGGAUGCCCGCAGUCAGAGGCGAUGAAGGACGUGCUAAUCUGCGAUAAGCGUCGGUAAGGUGAUAUGAACCGUUAUAACCGGCGAUUUCCGAAUGGGGAAACCCAGUGUGAUUCGUCACACUAUCAUUAACUGAAUCCAUAGGUUAAUGAGGCGAACCGGGGAACUGAAACAUCUAAGUACCCCGAGGAAAAGAAAUCAACCGAGAUUCCCCAGUAGCGGCGAGCGAACGGGAGCAGCCCAGAGCCUGAAUCAGUGUGUGUUAGUGGAAGCGUCUGGAAAGGCGCGCGAUACAGGGUGACAGCCCCGUACACACAUGCUGUGAGCUCGAUGAGUAGGGCGGGACACGUGGUAUCCUGUCUGAAUAUGGGGACCAUCCUCCAAGGCUAAAUACUCUGACUGACCGAUAGUGAACCAGUACCGUGAGGGAAAGGCGAAAAGAACCCGGCGAGGGAGUGAAAAGAACCUGAAACCGUGUACGUACAAGCAGUGGGAGCACAGAGCAAUCUGUGUGACUGCGUACCUUUGUAUAAUGGGUCAGCGACUUAUAUUCUGUAGCAAGGUUAACCGAAUAGGGAGCCGAAGGAAACCGAGUCUUAACUGGGCGUUAAGUUGCAGGUAUAGACCCGAAACCCGGUGAUCAGCCAUGGGCAGGUUGAAGGUUGGGUAACACUAACUGGAGGACCGAACCGACUAAUGUUGAAAAUUAGCGGAUGACUUGUGGCUGGGGUGAAAGGCCAAUCAAACCGGGAGAUAGCUGGUUCUCCCGAAAGCUAUUUAGGUAGCGCCUCGUGAAUUCAUCUCCGGGGUAGAGCACUGUUUCGGCAAGGGGUCAUCCGACUUACCAACCCGAUGCAAACUGCGAAUACCGGAGAAUGUUAUCACGGGAGACACACGGCGGGUGCUAACGUCCGUCGUGAAGAGGGAAACAACCCAGACCGCCAGCUAAGGUCCCAAAGUCAUGGUUAAGUGGAAACGAUGUGGAAGGCCCAGACAGCGGGAUGUUGGCUUAGAAGCAGCCAUCAUUUAAAGAAAGCGUAAUAGCUCACUGGUCGAGUCGGCCUGCGCGGAAGAUGUAACGGGCUAAACCAUGCACCGAAGCUGCGGCAGCGACGCUGAUGCGUUGUUGGGUAGGGGAGCGUUCUGUAAGCCUGCGAAGGUGUGCUGUGAGGCAUGCUGGAGGUAUCAGAAGUGCGAAUGCUGACAUAAGUAACGAUAAAGCGGGUGAAAAGCCCGCUCGCCGGAAGACCAAGGGUUCCUGUCCAACGUUAAUCGGGGCAGGGUGAGUCGACCCCUAAGGCGAGGCCGAAAGGCGUAGUCGAUGGGAAACAGGUUAAUAUUCCUGUACUUGGUGUUACUGCGAAGGGGGGACGGAGAAGGCUAUGUUGGCCGGGCGACGGUUGUCCCGGUUUAAGCGUGUAGGCUGGUUUUCCAGGCAAAUCCGGAAAAUCAAGGCUGAGGCGUGAUGACGAGGCACUACGGUGCUGAAGCAACAAAUGCCCUGCUUCCAGGAAAAGCCUCUAAGCAUCAGGUAACAUCAAAUCGUACCCCAAACCGACACAGGUGGUCAGGUAGAGAAUACCAAGGCGCUUGAGAGAACUCGGGUGAAGGAACUAGGCAAAAUGGUGCCGUAACUUCGGGAGAAGGCACGCUGAUAUGUAGGUGAAGUCCCUCGCGGAUGGAGCUGAAAUCAGUCGAAGAUACCAGCUGGCUGCAACUGUUUAUUAAAAACACAGCACUGUGCAAACACGAAAGUGGACGUAUACGGUGUGACGCCUGCCCGGUGCCGGAAGGUUAAUUGAUGGGGUUAGCGCAAGCGAAGCUCUUGAUCGAAGCCCCGGUAAACGGCGGCCGUAACUAUAACGGUCCUAAGGUAGCGAAAUUCCUUGUCGGGUAAGUUCCGACCUGCACGAAUGGCGUAAUGAUGGCCAGGCUGUCUCCACCCGAGACUCAGUGAAAUUGAACUCGCUGUGAAGAUGCAGUGUACCCGCGGCAAGACGGAAAGACCCCGUGAACCUUUACUAUAGCUUGACACUGAACAUUGAGCCUUGAUGUGUAGGAUAGGUGGGAGGCUUUGAAGUGUGGACGCCAGUCUGCAUGGAGCCGACCUUGAAAUACCACCCUUUAAUGUUUGAUGUUCUAACGUGGACCCGUAAUCCGGGUUGCGGACAGUGUCUGGUGGGUAGUUUGACUGGGGCGGUCUCCUCCUAAAGAGUAACGGAGGAGCACGAAGGUUGGCUAAUCCUGGUCGGACAUCAGGAGGUUAGUGCAAUGGCAUAAGCCAGCUUGACUGCGAGCGUGACGGCGCGAGCAGGUGCGAAAGCAGGUCAUAGUGAUCCGGUGGUUCUGAAUGGAAGGGCCAUCGCUCAACGGAUAAAAGGUACUCCGGGGAUAACAGGCUGAUACCGCCCAAGAGUUCAUAUCGACGGCGGUGUUUGGCACCUCGAUGUCGGCUCAUCACAUCCUGGGGCUGAAGUAGGUCCCAAGGGUAUGGCUGUUCGCCAUUUAAAGUGGUACGCGAGCUGGGUUUAGAACGUCGUGAGACAGUUCGGUCCCUAUCUGCCGUGGGCGCUGGAGAAUUGAGGGGGGCUGCUCCUAGUACGAGAGGACCGGAGUGGACGCAUCACUGGUGUUCGGGUUGUCAUGCCAAUGGCACUGCCCGGUAGCUAAAUGCGGAAGAGAUAAGUGCUGAAAGCAUCUAAGCACGAAACUUGCCCCGAGAUGAGUUCUCCCUGACUCCUUGAGAGUCCUGAAGGAACGUUGAAGACGACGACGUUGAUAGGCCGGGUGUGUAAGCGCAGCGAUGCGUUGAGCUAACCGGUACUAAUGAACCGUGAGGCUUAACCU